rnacentral:miRNA from 1 species
CAGCUCCACUACUUCCUGAAAUUUGGCCAAAUUUCAGGAAGUAGUGGAGCU